rnacentral:rRNA from 1 species
UACGUAGGUGGCAAGCGUUUGUCCGGAUUUACUGGGCGUAAAGAGCGCGCAGGCGGUCGUGCAAGUCGCGUGUGAAAGCCCCCGGCUCAACUGGGGAGGGUCACGCGAUACUGUUCGACUCGAAGGCAGGAGAGGGAAGCAGAAUUCCCGGUGUAGUGGUGAAAUGCGUAGAUAUCGGGAGGAAUACCAGUGGCGAAGGCGGCUUCCUGGCCUGUUCUUGACGCUGAGGCGCGAAAGCUAGGGUAGCAAACGGG